CAGAAGAGGGCACCAGAUCCCCUGGGACUGAAGUUCAGACUUGUGCUCUUCCGAUUUCCGACGAAGAGCCAUGCACCAGCACAGCAAUUCCUAGUCCAGAGAAAAAGAAGAAAAAGAAAAAAAAGAAAGAAGCUGAGGAUUAAUGGAAAGAAACUAUCAUUCUGUCACCUGGAUACAUCAUGCUUAAGAUUAUGAGCAUAUCAGAUGCUCUUUGAAAUAAUCAAGGAAGGUUGAGUCAAUCCAACAGUGAUUAUCUGUAGCUUCUCAAACCUUUUUUGUGUCUUGACAUCAGCUGUUAACUAACCUUAGUCUUUGAUACACAAAUAAAAAUAUUUUCUUUGUAUUAAAAAAAAAAA